CCUCCCAAAGUGUUAGGACUACACGUGUGAGCCACUGCACCAGGUGGUGAGACAACAACCUGAACCUGGCUGAGCUAGGGAACAAAAAAUUCUUGCAUCGUUGUUCUAUAACAUUCUUCUUUCUUUGGACCCAGGAAUCCCAAGAGAGCUUGCUUCCUCUAUCUGCCAUUUGAGGACACCACUAGGAGACAAGCAUCUAAGAACCAGGAGAGUAUUAGGCCAUUCUUGCAUUGCUAUAAAGAAAUACCUGAGACUGUGUAAUUUAUGUUUUUUAAAAAAAGGUUUAAUUGGCUCAUGUUUCUUCAGGCUAUGCAACAAGCAUGGCACUGGCAUCUGCCCAGCUCCUGGGGACACCUUAAGGAACUUUGACUCAUGUCAGAAGGUGAAGUGACAGCAGGCACUUCAGAUGCCAAAAGCAGGAGCAAAGAGGGGCUGUGGAAGGUGCCAUAUACUUUUAAAUUGGCAGAUCUCAUGAGGACUCAGAGGGAGAGCUCACUUAUCACCAAGGGGAUGGCCCAAGCCAUUCAUGAGAAAUCCGCCCCCAUGAUCUCAACACCUCUCAC